rnacentral:rRNA from 1 species
AUUGAACGCUGGCGGCAUGCCUUACACAUGCAAGUCGAACGGCAGCGCGGGAGCAAUCCUGGUGGUGAGUGGCGAACGGGUGAGUAAAGUAUCGGAACGUGCCCAGUCGUGGGGGAUAACGUAGCGAAAGUUACGCUAAUACCGCAUACGAUCUAUGGAUGAAAGCGGGGGAUCGCAAGACCUCGCGCGAUUGGAGCGGCCGAUAUCAGAUUAGGUAGUUGGUGGGGUAAAGGCUCACCAAGCCGACGAUCUGUAGCUGGUCUGAGAGGACGACCAGCCACACUGGGACUGGGACACGGCCCAGACUCCUACGGGAGGCAGCAGUGGGGAAUUUUGGACAAUGGGCGAAAGCCUGAUCCAGCCAUGCCGCGUGCAGGAUGAAGGCCUUCGGGUUGUAAACUGCUUUUGUACGGAACGAAAAGGUUUGGCCUAAUAAGCUGAGCUCAUGACGGUACCGUAAGAAUAAGCACCGGCUAACUACGUGCCAGCCGCCGCCGUAA